rnacentral:rRNA from 1 species
AGCGGCGGACGGGUGAGUAAUGCUUAGGAAUCUGCCUAUUAGUGGGGGACAACAUCUCGAAAGGGAUGCUAAUACCGCAUACGUCCUACGGGAGAAAGCAGGGGAUCUUCGGACCUUGCGCUAAUAGAUGAGCCUAAGUCGGAUUAGCUAGUUGGUGGGGUAAAGGCCUACCAAGGCGACGAUCUGUAGCGGGUCUGAGAGGAUGAUCCGCCACACUGGGACUGAGACACGGCCCAGACUCCUACGGGAGGCAGCAGUGGGGAAUAUUGGACAAUGGGGGGAACCCUGAUCCAGCCAUGCCGCGUGUGUGAAGAAGGCCUUAUGGUUGUAAAGCACUUUAAGCGAGGAGGAGGCUACUUUAGUUAAUACCUAGAGAUAGUGGACGUUACUCGCAGAAUAAGCACCGGCUAACUCUGUGCCAGCAGCCGCGGUAAUACAGAGGGUGCGAGCGUUAAUCGGAUUUACUGGGCGUAAAGCGUGCG